GACUGUCUUACUGUCUCUAACAUAGACUCAGCGAAAUUGAAUUCCUCGUGCAGAUGCGGGGUACCUGCGACUAGACGAUAAGACCCCAUGCACCUUUACUAUACCCAUCCAUUGCAGUAAUAAAAUUUAUGUGUAGAAUAGGCGGGAGUUUAUGAAGCUUUUACGUAAGUAAACUGCUAAAACACCUUUGAAAUACCGUCCUUAAAUUUUGUUAUCGCUCAUCUUUUGCAAAAUAAGAGACAUUGUGUGGUUGGUAGUUUGACUGGGGCGGU
rnacentral:rRNA from 1 species